rnacentral:tRNA from 6 species
GCGGUCGUGGCGGAACUGGUAGACGCGCAGCGUUGAGGUCGCUGUGGGGCAACCCGUGGAGGUUCGAGUCCUCUCGACCGCACCA